rnacentral:tRNA from 1 species
GUAAGUGUAGUUUAACAAAAACAUCAAAUUGUGAAUUUGACAACAGAAACUUUAACCUUCUCACUUACC